rnacentral:misc_RNA from 1 species
GGGGUAACAACUCACCUGCCAAA